GACCUCAUGUUCAUCAUUGACCUCUGCAGUCCCUCCCUCCAUGAUGUAGAUCUCUGUGAACAUCUGAUUCAGAAGGGUUGGGUUUCCUGCUUUAGCAAUCCCCUCAAACACACACUGGAACUUCUUGUUUAGGUUAGUCUUGAGUUUACGUUUACACACUCCAGCAGAACUUCUGCGGUGAAGA